rnacentral:rRNA from 1 species
GGCCAGCAGCCGCGGUAAUACGUAGGGGGCAAGCGUUGUCCGGAUUUACUGGGUGUAAAGGGCGCGUAGGCGGGUUCGUAAGUCAGAGGUGAAAUCUCCCGGCUUAACCGGGAAACUGCCUUUGAUACUGCGAAUCUUGAGUUCAGAAGAGAGAGAUGGAAUUCCAGGUGUAGUGGUGAAAUACGUAGAUAUCUGGAAGAACACCAGUGGCGAAGGCGAUCUCUUGGUCUGAAACUGACGCUGAGGCGCGAAAGCGUGGGUAGCAAACAGGAUUAGAUACCCUGGUAGUCCACGCUGUAAACGAUGAUUACUAGGUGUUGGGUCUAUAAGACUCAGUGCCGCAGCAAACGCAUUAAGUAAUCCACCUGGGGAGUACGAUCGCAAGGUUGAAACUCAAAGGAAUUGACGGGGGCCCGCACA